UACGUAGGUGGCAAGCGUUGUCCGGAAUUAUUGGGCGUAAAGAGCGCGCAGGCGGUCGAUCAAGUCGAGUGUGAAAGCCCCCGGCUCAACUGGGGAGGGUCAUUCGAUACUGAUCGACUCGAAGGCAGGAGAGGGUACUGGAAUUCCCGGUGUAGAGGUGAAAUGCGUAGAUAUCGGGAGGAACACCAGUGGCGAAGGCGACUACCUGGCCUGUUCUUGACGCUGAGGCGCGAAAGCUAGGGGAGCAAACGGG
rnacentral:rRNA from 1 species